rnacentral:rRNA from 1 species
UCCAGAGAUUAGCUUGCUUUAGUUGUCAGCUAAGUGGCGCACGGGUGAGUAAUGUAUAGAUAACCUGCCCUCUAGAAAGGAAUAACAGUUGGAAACGACUGCUAAUGCCCUAUAUGCCUUUAAUACAUAAGUAUGCAAGGGAAACGCUUUAGUGCUAGAGGAUGGGUCUGUAUGGUAUCAGCUAGUUGGUGAGGUAAUGGCUCACCAAGGCUAUGACGCCUAACUGGUUUGAGAGGAUGAUCAGUCACACUGGAACUGAGACACGGUCCAGACUCCUACGGGAGGCAGCAGUGGGGAAUAUUGCACAAUGGACGAAAGUCUGAUGCAGCAACGCCGCGUGGAGGAUGACACAUUUCGGUGCGUAAACUCCUUUUAUAUAGGAAGAUAAUGACGGUACUAUAUGAAUAAGCACCGGCUAACUCCGUGCCAGCAGCCGCGGUAAUACGGAGGGUGCAAGCGUUACUCGGAAUCACUGGGCGUAAAGAGCGUGUAGGCGGGUAUAUAAGUCAGAAGUGAAAUCCUAUAGCUUAACUAUAGAACUGCUUUUGAAACUGUAUACCUAGAAUGUGGGAGAGGUAGAUGG